AUUGAACGCUGGCGGCAUGCGUAACACAUGCAAGUCGAACGGUGGAUGAAGUUUAGCAGUAUCCACAGUGGCGGACGGGUGAGUAACGCGUAGGAAUCUGUCCUAGAGAGGGGGAUAACCAGGGGAAACUUUGGCUAAAACCGCGUAAUCUCGAGAGAGUAAAGCAGGGGACUGUAAAAGGCCUUGUGCUCUAGGGUGAGCCUACGUCGGAUUAGCUAGUUGGUGGGGUAAAGGCCUACCAAGGCGAUGAUCUGUAGCUGGUCUGAGAGGACGGACAGCCACACUGGGACUAAGACACGGCCCAGACUCCUACCGGAGGCAGCAGUGGGGAAUAUUGGACAAUGGGGGGAACCCUGAUCCAGCGAUGCCGCGUGUGUGAAGAAGGCCUGCGGGUUGUAAAGCACUUUCAGUGGGGGAGAAACAGCAGCUCUAAUACAGUAUGCGAAUGACGGUACCUGAAGAAUAAGCACCGGCUAACUACGUGCCAGCCGCCGCCGUAAGAC
rnacentral:rRNA from 1 species